rnacentral:tRNA from 1 species
AUUAAAGUGGCAGAGUAUGGUAAUUGCAAAAGACCUAAAAUCUUUAUAUCGAGAGUUCAAAUCUCUCCUUUAACU